AGCUGCAUUCACUGUAGCCUGUGUCUUUAAUGCGGAUGUUACAUAAGGCUCAAAUUUCUGACAUUACAAGGUUUCUGAUGGGUCAUUUUAAUCUAGGAGAUACACACCACUUCCCAAGAUUCCAAAGGAAGGAAAGAAAAAGAGGAGUUGAAAGAAGAGUUUGCACGAAGUAUGAGCAAUCCUCCCCGCAGAUUUAAGGGUGAACCGUCUUGGUUUUAUCACUGGAUUAUGGGUUCUCCUGACUAAGAGUGUUUUGGCUGCUCUGCCCUCAAGCAGAGAAUGCAGAUGUGGGACCUGCUGUAAAGGAUUUACAGAAAAUAGGAGAAGUCUGAGGAUGGCCACAGAUAAAUCAACAAGAAACAUCAGAUUCCUUCAUCAACUGGCCUCCUAGCAGUUGGGUGAGCUGUCGGAAGUUCGUGCCCGGUGAUGACCCACCUGCCCUCACCCCCCAGCAGGACUGGCCACCAUCUUGUCCCCUCUUCUGGCAGUCUCACAGACUCCACAUUUAAGAUUGCAGUGUCACAAGAUCAAAGGAUCCUGGAACCCUGAGACACGGCUUGAUAAGGAGCCACCCAAGGAAGCCAUCUGACCAGCAUGAUGUGAGCAAUAAAAAUCCUUUGUGAUGUAAAGCCACUGACAUCCGCGGUUUACUUAUUAGACAUCAUGACCUACCCUAGCCCCAUAGAAUACGUUACCUAAGUCUUGCGCUCUGACAAUAGAAAACAGCAUUUCUUAAAGCAAGUAGCAUAUGCUAAAGAAGAUUUGUCCUGUGGAACGCUAUUCAGAGAACAAGAAAUAGCGUAAUGGAUUAUGUAAACUGCUCCAAGCCUGUUUUCUGCACGUGUAAACAUUCAGCUGUUUCCUGUAUUGGCCAAACUUCCUGCGUGGCAUUCGAGUCCCUCC